GCAUCCGUGGUUUAGUGGUAAAAUUAACGCUUGCCAUAGAUACUCUGACCGCUCCGGCUUCAGGGUGCUACAGCAACAUGUGUUAGCCCCGGGUUCGAUUCCCGGCGGAUGCA